UACGGAAGGCACAGUGGGGAAUAUUGCACAAUGGGCGCAAGCCUGAUGCAGCCAUGCCGCGUGUAUGAAGAAGGCCUUCGGGCUGUAAAGUACUUUCAGUCGUGAGGAAGGUGUUAAGGUUAAUAACCUUAGCAAUUGACGUUAGCGACAGAAGAAGCACCGGCUAACUCCGUGCCAGCAGCCGCGGUAAUACGGAGGGUGCGAGCGUUAAUCGGAAUUACUGGGCGUAAAGGGCACGCAGGCGGUUAAUUAAGUUGGAUGUGAAAUCCCCGGGCUUAACCUGGGAAUGGCAUUCAAGACUGGUUAGCUAGAGUCUUGUAGAGGGGGUAGAAUUCCAUGUGUAGCGGUGAAAUGCGUAGAGAUGUGGAGGAAUACCGGUGGCGAAGGCGGCCCCUGGACAAAGACUGACGCUCAUGUGCGAAAGCGUGGGGAGCAAAC
rnacentral:rRNA from 1 species